CGUCCAGGAGCUCGUCCGGCUGGUUAAUGAUCAGGUUCGGGCCCUGCCGGGGAGAAAGCAGCACAGAGAAAAAUGGAAGUGUUCAAGAGGCGCCUGUUUCCCGAGCGGCUUUCGUUAAACAAAACCAAUGUUACUUUCACAUUUCCAACCACUAUAGGAACUUUAAAAAGAAAAAAAAAAAAGAAAGAAAAAAUAUCAGAAGCUAUAAGGUAAGAACAAACACACAGGCAAGUCGAAUCAAUCGAGACAUGUUAUCAAAACAUUGAAACGAGUAUGGGUUAUCCACAGGUUUUUACAGGGAAGCUUUUAAUACUUUUCUCCAAGAUGUAUUUCAAAGUUAAUGAUUCUGUAUCAAAACACUGUUUGCAAUAUACCAGAUGCCACAAAGCAUCAUACCACUUCAGAUCUGUUUAAAGGAUGUAUGCCCGUAUCUGAUACAGAGACUACCUCUUUCAACUGCACUACAAAAAUACAAACAGAUUUUUCUGUAUAAUACAAGCUAACAGCAAUGAUUUCUCUUAAAUUGUGGCACAUUUUUUUUCCUGCAUAAAACCCUGAGGUGAAGAGUUAACACAUUAAAAAUUAAGAUGCUAGUUUUGCAGGAUUGCAUUGCUAAUAGUUUUACAAACAUUAAAAGGUAACUUUGAGGGAGUUUUUAUACACAUAUACAAUUAGGAACAGAUCCAACGUUCAACUUCCUGUUCCCAGCAAGUUCUUUAAAGCGUACUGAAUACU